UGUCAUCCAAGCUGAGCAGACUUCAAAAAGUACAAACAAUAUAAAGCUGUAAGGGGGGUGUCUGUGUACUGCUGCCACUUCGGCCAAUGUUCAAACAGUGGCACGGACCUGCAAAAAGUCCUCGGAGUUAAGUAUGAACCGACUGUGUUUUCCACCUCUAAAGCUAGACUUCACUUCUCUGAUUCUUGGUGUUUUGCCGCUUGUCUGAAAAUCACCAUUUGGAGGGAGAAGGUGUUUUGAAUAUAAUGUUCUUGGAGGAAUCCAGGGAGCAGGUCUAAGAGCUUCAGUGCUUCUUCUACUGCUCUUGGUUAGGCCAGCACAUGAAAGACCCAAUAGGAGCAUAAAGAGCAGUAAUAUGCGUGGAACACAGAGAAAGGUCACUGCUACAUGUGAAUUCAUUUUUAAAUAAUUCAACAAACCAUCUGUGACAUUUACCCUGCAAAGCAAUUUUUGAAAGUUUUCUAGCUGAUCCUGAUCUUCACAGAACAGAAUGUUUAUUGCUUCAGCUGUGCAAAGGAGUGUUCCUAUUUCAAGCCAAUCAAGACCAAUGGAUCAAAUUCAACCCUGUUGUAAGCAGGCAACUCCCAUUGAUAGGCCUGCGUACAUUUGCACUAUAGUUCAAUUUGGCUCACUAGCUUUAAUUUUUGUUCUCGUCUAGCACCGAUGCCUAUAGUGAAAACUGUGUAAACAUUUCCAUUGCAAAGGGUCAUUUCCAGUUGUCUAGAACUUCAUUCAUCUUUUACAUACUCUACGGUUAAUUUUCCAAUUUGCCAUUUCAUUUGCCUAAGUUGCCUGGAUUGCCCUCCAUAUUGUUACCCCUUCUUGUUUGCCAGUUGGUACCCUUUUCUAUUCAAGGCGGGAACAGGGUCAUUUGAACUAUGUAAUCUGCCUGGACACAAGAUUCUAUUUAAGGACCAUGCGCACAGCACUGUCUGCCCCUAGCCAAGACUACGAGUCAAGAGAAGACCUGUUUACCUGUUGUUCCUGAUCCUGUGGUAUCGUUCCUGGUCCCUUGUGUUGUUCCUGUGGUUGUGUGCCUGUCUCCUGGCAUUCCCUGUGGGCCCUGCUGUGCCCUAUCUGUGGUCCUUCUUCUGUAAAAGCAUCAGACAUGGUCAUGUAUUAAUCUCUUUGGUUUAUUUGUAUAUCUGUGUUACUUUGGGGUCCUUGGCUUCAAGCCCACCUGUGGGGUUAACAGCCAAGUGCUUUGUAUUGUAUAUAUCUUGUUUAUUAUUCUUGAUAAAUUUAUUCUUCUUAAUAAAUUCUUAUUCUGUUUGUACCUUA